rnacentral:rRNA from 1 species
UACGUGGGGUGCAAGCGUUAAUCGGAAUUACUGGGCGUAAAGCGUGCGCAGGCGGUUCUAUAAGACAGAUGUGAAAUCCCCCGGGCUCAACCUGGGAACUGCAUUUGUGACUGUAGAGCUGGAGUACGGCAGAGGGGGGAUGGAAUUCCGCGUGUAGCAGUGAAAUGCGUAGAUAUCGGGAGGAACACCAAUGGCGAAGGCGGCUAUCUGGACGUCCACUGACGCUGAGGCGCGAAAGCGUGGGGAGCGAACAGG